AUGCCAAUGUAUAUAUCAGCAUGUUGUAUCAUCCCUACAUCAUUCCCACAACACCAAUUGCAAAUGUUCUAUAAUUACACGAUUUUAAGAUCUGCACAAGUUGUGACAAAUAGUGCCAGAUUAAACCAGCAUAACUUUUUUAAUGAGUUGAAUCACAGGCAACACAAAGGCAGUAUUUUGUAUUCGAGAAAUUGGACACAUGAGAUAACAAAAACACAGGCACUAUUAGUCCAUAUUCCAUAA